GGUGACGAUGACGCACUGGUGUCACAAGAUGUCGCACUUUACAAACCUUUUAAAUCAGAGCGCGACCGCUCAAGAAAAGUCGAGGAGCAAGUGCUUCAACAUGUUGAAAGGGAUACAAUAUCAAAACCACCCGACUACCCUCGUGAGCUCGGCCCUGUAUUGAACAAAGACCCUCUUUCUGCCUGACACUGGAGACGUUGAGACGAGAGGUCUGUGUCCUGGGACAGAGCGAUGCCAGCCAGCCAGAGAUGAUCCACGCACCCUGGCAUAUAGGCAGCAGAUAACCUGGCCACUGCACUGGACGACGAGCCACAGGGUCAAGGAGCUUUACCCAUGGGAGAUGGCCUGAGGCUCCUCUGGGUGCAGACAGCUUUUAUAGCUCAGCCACAUUCGUUCUGUGUCUGUCUGCCUGUCUGCCUGAUUUGGGCCUUGAAGACUUGACAGUUCACUCAUGUGCGCUCCCAAAUCCCAGGCGUCCUGCCGUCUGCCACACACUCACACCAAUUCCCUCCCCACUCACACUCUUUCAGGUGGAAGUUCUCCUGAUCCGGAGCCUGAUUACCACGUGCACGGUCUUAAAUUUGUCCCUUAGUGGUCAAACACACUCUAUCAGGAAAAUAUACUGUCGCUAUAUGUUAUAUUCUAUUUGUAAACUUUCAAAUGCUCAUAUUGCCUUCGAAAAUAUCACACUACAUUCCCAAAAGAGCACAGCUGUUAUUGCUAAAACUGUUCCGACCACUCCUUUUAGAUAUGUAAAUCUAUAGAGAGAGAGGUUAGAGAGUUUAAUUAAGCAGCAUUGUGUUCAUUGAUUCAUCCAUACAGUGGCCAUUUGACAAGGUUAGCAAACUGACUGUUUUAGCAUUUCACAUUAUACAUUUUGUCUCCACACUACACACCUGAGCAAGGUGCCGUGUUUCCGUAUCACACUGUAGUCAUGCAGUGGCAGGUGUCGAGUGAAUUGGUCCAUUGAAAGUAAAAACCCUCCUGGUUCCUCUGUGUCAUUUGAUAAGUGCCUCAGAGUUUCAACAGAAAUAAUCUAUUCAAAUCAGAUUUUGCCUAUGAUAGGUUGUACAUGUAAGGUUUGAGUAGACUUGGUGCUUCGAGAUGAUUGUUUGUCAGCAGCUCUUUGACACAGAUCUCACAGUUGUCUUUACCCAGUUUUUUAGCCAUAGUGAUUACAGGUAUAGUAUAUUCACUUGUAAUGGAAAAAGCUGGUCAUAUAGAGAAACACAUAUGCUUUUUCUUUGUCAAUAUGCACCUGCUUGAGUGGCUAUUGAACAUGUUUUUUUAAUUUUAACAAAAGGGUAGCAACAUGCCCAAAGUUAAAAACACAGGAUUGGAAUCAGUUAUUACCCACAAAUUAUUUUUUAUUUUUCAAACUCAGGAAUGGACAAAAGACGACAAAUUGAUAUGAGUUUACUACAGCUGUUAAAGAUGUGUAGGUAUAGUUGUAUGUUUUAAGAGACGUGUCAAUCACGCUGGGGAUAGAAGUGAUAGAAUCUUCCAGUUCUGUGUUUUGAAUUAGGUCGACUGGGUUGUACUGGGAUCAUAUAUUGCGCCUUAAGUACCUGUUAUUAAUUCCUAGUGCACUGCAGCAUUACAUGUAAAUCCUGUACUUGAGUUGAGAGGCACAGCUAGGGGAGAUGAUAACCUUGCAGCUGAUGAGGAUGAAUAGAACAAAUAAUUAGAUGUACAAAAUAAUGGAAGGGAGUGCAGAGAGGGUACUUCAUCUCAAGACAAGCGUGCACGAAACUGAGCUCGGCCACUAUGAUCCCAACCCACCUCCCAAGGCCAUUGUGAAGGAAGAGUUGAGGCUCAGGUGUCAUUGUAUUUUCCUGUAGCUCACCAUGCAGAACUCUUCUCAUCUCAAGUGACCUACAGGUAUUUUCCUAUAGAAAGCAACACCACCAUGCAGGGAUGCUUUUCUGAUUGUCGGUAUGUUACAUAAAUUAGUUCACAGCUGUUUUUGUUGUUGUUUUCUAAUGUAGGGCAAUAUAUUUCCCCCCCCAAAAUACUGCUAGACAAAGAGACAAAGGCAGUAAGUUAGAACCAGACUUUAACCUACCCUGGAGGAUAUUGGACUCGCUAUGUAGGCCAUCUCCUGUGCUGAGAUUACAUCUCAGGUAGCAGAAAGAAGUGUCCAUAAAGAAUUGAGUCACCUUCUCACACUGUUACAACAGCUGGUUUAUAUGCCAGUAAAACAAAAUAUGUAGUUGUUUCUUUUGUUUUUGCCUGCUGUACCUGUAGCAUUUCCACUGUUCAAACACCUGGUUCUUAUUGAUUGAUCAUUCCCACAUGUGAGUCCUCUCACUGGGCUGUUUUGAUCUCCACAUGUGUAGAUUUUUAAUUACUUGUACUCAUUCACAAAGGCUGUCGCAUUAAAGCUGAACUCUGUUAUGUCCGAUUUCGAGUGACACCUGUAGCUCAAAGCAAGCUUAGAUACAUUACUUUUAGUACAGUGGUGCUAGGUGUUAUGCAUUAAGUCAUAAAAGAUGAUACUGUAUGCACAGUAUUUUUGUAACUGUGUGAUAUUUUGUGUUUUGACUCAGUCCUGCUACAUGCUAUACAUUCCUUCUGGAUAAUUAA